rnacentral:lncRNA from 1 species
AAUGGUAUAUGAAUCCGGCCCUUGGAUUUGUAAAUGUUGUUCUGUGGGAUAUAGGCUCGAUGUUAUGGCACAUGAAUAACCAUAAAAUUGCUAUGGAUGGGGUGAGAUCUAUCUGAUGCCAGUCUGCUGUAGGUAGAGGCCAAGCAUUUUCACGUCCCAACAAUAUUUCUGCAACCUCAUACCAGUUGAAGUCUUCGGGAAUAGGGACCACAUUAUUCCAGGAUAACUGAUAGUAGUCAUGAAUUACCUCUGGUGAAAACAUAAUCCAUUUGCCCCUAACCCAAGUCUGAUGUAAGUGCUCCGAUCCGGGAGUGUCGAUUUCUGUGUUGAAGUUUGCAUAAAAUUCCUUUGCUAGAUUCUCAUACACCGGAUGACGUCUUUCUAUUACCUUCUCCCAGCCACAAUUUGAAUAAGAUAUGUCAAUUCAAAGUUGGGGAAGUCUUCUAACUUUACUGGCCUCUCGGGAAUGAUUGCCCAAUCGCGCACAACAUUGGAGUAUCGGGCUGUCGUAUCUGAUGAUAGGAAUCUUCGAACACCCCCUUCGGGUUCUCUUGUUCUGGCCGUUCCAGAUGAGGAGCCGACUUUCUCUUUUCCCUUUGAAGUUCUUUUAGGAGGCAUCCUGCAAAAGGAAAUACACAAUAUCACUUACUUGGUAUAGGAAUAACGGGCAUUAAUAAUCUUUGAAUUCAUAAUCCCCCAAACUUUCUUCAACAUGCAAAUGUACGUAUGCUUAUGCAAUUUUUCAAGACAUGAAUCACCAAUAUAACUCUAACUUUGCAUAAGUUGGAAAACUCAAAACUAU